rnacentral:rRNA from 1 species
CGGGGCGCUGCACCAGUGGGGAAUAUUGCACAAUGGGCGCAAGCCUGAUGCAGCCAUGCCGCGUGUAUGAAGAAGGCCUUCGGGUUGUAAAGUACUUUCAGCGGGGAGGAAGGGAGUAAAGUUAAUACCUUUGCUCAUUGACGUUACCCGCAGAAGAAGCACCGGCUAACUCCGUGCCAGCAGCCGCGGUAAUACGGAGGGUGCAAGCGUUAAUCGGAAUUACUGGGCGUAAAGCGCACGCAGGCGGUUUGUUAAGUCAGAUGUGCAAUCCCCGGGCUCAACCUGGGAACUGCAUCUGAUAAUGGCAAGCUUGAGUCUCGUAGAGGGGGGUAGAAUUCCAGGUGUAGCGGUGAAAUGCGUAGAGAUCUGGAGGAAUACCGGUGGCGAAGGCGGCCCCCUGGACGAAGACUGACGCUCAGGUGCGAAAGCGUGGGGAGCAAACAGGAUUAGAUACCCUCGUAGUC